UCUUUUGUAAUUCUCAUGAAAGGCUUUAUUUCUUGAUCUCUCUCACAUAGGACUUUUCGGAAGACUGGCCUGCUCAUGAGAAGCAAGUGGCUGAUGUGAACAAUUCUAGCACAUUCCAGAAGGUUUACUGAGAUCCUGGAUGUCUAGACCUAUGGGAUUUUGAACAUCCCUUGAUGAUGGCCCUGGCAAUGACUCCUUUGUUCUGAAGCUUUUGGGAAAUGCCGAGUAUGUCUAAGAGCCCAUGCAAAGGAAAAGGAAGCUUGUCAGUUGAACACUUGAGGACAUCUGACUCCAAAGGAAACAGGUAA
rnacentral:lncRNA from 1 species